CAGGAUUCCCUCAGUAGCGGCGAGCGAACAGGGAAGAGCCCAGCACCGAAUCCCGUCGUCGACACCGGCGGCCGGGAGAUGUGGUGUUAGGGAGGAUCCGCAAUCCCGAGGCGGUCCGGCGAGUCCAAGUCCUUCUUGAACGGGGCCAAUUACCCACAGAGGGUGCCAGGCCCGUAGAGACGGCCGGUCGCCGCGGGAGGGUCUCUCCUAAGAGUCGGGUUGCUUGAGAGUGCAGCCCUAAGCGGGUGGUAAACUCCAUCUAAGGCUAAAUACGACCACGAGACCGAUAGCGAACAAGUACCGUGAGGGAAAGUUGAAAAGAACUUUGAAGAGAGAGUUCAAUAGUACGUGAAACCGUUCAGGGGUAAACCUGAGAAACCCGAAAGGUCGAAGGGGGAGAUUCAACCGCGUCUCCGGCGUCCGGGUGAGCGGCGUCGGCGCGACGUCCGGUCCUUCGGGAUCGGGCGCGCCCGGCGUCCGUCCGGUGCCGGAACGCGUGCACUUCUCCCCUUGUAGGACGUCGCGACCCGUUGGGUGCGGGCCUAAGGGCCGCGGUGGAGCCCGGUCGGCGCGGUUCGCGCCGUCGUCCGAUCGGACCCGCGUGCCCCGGCCCGCCCGCUCGACGGUAGACAUCGAGGCGUGGGGCCGCGACCAGUUCGCGUUCGGCCCGUCGCAAGUGCGGACGGCAAACCCGUGUCGUCGGACCCGGUCCGACGCCGGGCCCGUCUCGCUGUUGGCGGCGGCGUCUCGGACAGACCCCGAAUCGCCGGUCGGCGACGCUAUAGCUUUGGGUACUUUCAGGACCCGUCUUGAAACACGGACCAAGGAGUCUAGCAUGUGCGCGAGUCAUUGGGAUUCGCUAAACCUACAGGCGCAAUGAAAGUGAAGGUCGGCCUCGCGCCGACCUAGGGAGGAUGCGUCGCGUCCCUCGGGGCGCGCGCCGCACUCCCGGGGCGUCUCGUUCUCAUCGCGAGAGGAGGCGCACCCAGAGCGUACACGCUGGGACCCGAAAGAUGGUGAACUAUGCCUGGUCAGGACGAAGUCAGGGGAAACCCUGAUGGAGGUCCGUAGCGAUUCUGACGUGCAAAUCGAUCGUCGGAACUGGGUAUAGGGGCGAAAGACUAAUCGAACCAUCUAGUAGCUGGUUCCCUCCGAAGUUUCCCUCAGGAUAGCUGGCGCUCGUAUUUUACGAGUCUCAUCCGGUAAAGCGAAUGAUUAGAGGCAUUGGGGUCGAAACGGCCUCAACCUAUUCUCAAACUUUAAAUGGGUGAGAUCUCCGGCUUGCUCGAUUGAAGCCGCGAGAUUUCGGAUCAGAGUGCCAAGUGGGCCAUUUUUG
rnacentral:rRNA from 1 species